rnacentral:tRNA from 1 species
GCCUGGGUGGCUCAGUUGGUUAAGCAUCUGACUUCAGCUCAGGUCAUGAUCUCAUGGUUUGUGAGUUCAAGCCCCGCAUCAGGCU